rnacentral:rRNA from 1 species
GACGAACGCUGGCGGCGGGCUUAACACAUGCAAGUCGAACGGAAAGGCCUGCUUUCCCUUGUGGAUUGCGGGUACUCGAGCGGCGAACGGGUGAGUAACACGUGAGUGAUCUGCCCCCAACUUGGGUAUAAGCCUGGGAAACUGGGUCUAAUUCCCGAUAGGACUGCAGGGUGGUGCCUGUGGUGGAAAACGAUUUUCUAGUGGUUGGGGAUGAGCUCGCGGCCUAUCAGCUUGUUGGUGGGGUAAUGGCCUACCAAGGCGGCGACGGGUAGCCGGCCUGAGAGGGUGGACGGCCACAUUGGGACUGAGAUACGGCCCAGACUCCUACGGGAGGCAGCAGUGGGGAAUAUUGCACAAUGGGCGGAAGCCUGAUGCAGCGACGCCGCGUGGGGGAUGACGGCCUUCGGGUUGUAAACUCCUUUCGACCGCGAGGAAGCCACCUGGUUGGAAGGGUGGUGACGGUAGUGGUAGAAGAAGCACCGGCUAACUACGUG